AAAAUUGUGGCAUCAUGAAUGUUUUUCUAUCCAGGAUUUGUUAUUAGGGAAGAACAAAUCCUACGAACACUCAGGAGUACUCUCAUGCACAUUUCAGUGCAGACAUGUCACAUUGGUGGCGUUGUCUACUUA